GACGAACGCUGGCGGCGUGCUUAACACAUGCAAGUCGAACGGGUCUGCCCUGUUUUUUUGCGGGGUGGGUCAGUGGCGAACGGGUGAGUAACACGUGAGUAACCUGCCCCUCACUUCUGGAUAACCGCUUGAAAGGGGGGCUAAUACGGGGUGUUCUGGCGGUGCCGCAGGGGGGGGCGGGGAAAGAUUCACUUUUGGGGGGUUUUGGUGGGGGAGGGGCUCGCGGCCUAUCAGCUUGUUGGUGGGGUGAUGGCCUGCCAAGGCUUUGACGGGUAGCCGGCCUGAGAGGGUGGGCGGUCACACUGGGACUGAGAUACGGCCCAGACUCCUGCGGGAGGCAGCAGUGGGGGGUAUUGCACAAUGGGCGGAAGCCUGAUGCAGCGACGUCGCGUGAGGGAUGGAGGCCUUCGGGUUGUGAACCUCUUUCGCCGGUGAAGAAGGUCCUGCUCUUUGUGGUGGGGUUGACGGUAGCCGGGGUAUGAAGCGCCGGCUAACUACGU
rnacentral:rRNA from 1 species